UGACGAGGAUGAGAACCUCCGGGGGCAAGAGGUUCGACCCGAGCGAAGCGAGAGAACGUUGCGUCAGCAACGGCCCGCAGUGGCAAGUCAUCCUCUGUCACCGGCAG
rnacentral:sRNA from 1 species